CUCGCAGGUCACACUGCACGAGUCAGUGUUGCAACGUACCGACCGUCUAUCGCCCGACCGCCACAAUCUGUCGACCGUUCGGAGCCUGCCGUAAAAAUUUCAAGGAAUUAAAUUUCUACAGCUUACUGCAUUGCUAGUAAACGGGGCACCAGGAAAUUGAAAUCAUAAUAAAAAG